UGAAAUGGUGUCUGACCACUGGCUCCUGGAA
rnacentral:piRNA from 1 species